GACGAGGGGCCUAGCGUUGUUCGGAAUUACUGGGCGUAAAGCGCAUGUAGGCGGCUUUUCAAGUCAGAUGUGAAAGCCUCGGGCUCAACCUGAGAAGUGCAUUUGAUACUGUUAAGCUUGAAUAUGGGAGAGGGUAGUAGAAUUCCUGGUGUAGUGGUGAAAUUCGUAGAUAUCGGGAGGAACACCAGUGGCGAAGGCGGCGAUCUGGGAAGGAUACGUGACGCUGAGGUGCGAAAGCGUGGGGAGCAAACAGG
rnacentral:rRNA from 1 species